GGCAGACCAUUAUGACCCUUUGAGUGACCAGCUGGGUAGGGCGAACAACUUAUGCAAUAUCGUCAACACCCUCCGGAAGCAUGAAGCCGACGCUCCGGAGUUGUGGUCCUUCCUGCCCCUAUGCUUCGUGCUUCCUGAACAAACGCAGCAGCUAAGGGACGUGGCGGAAGCAGUGGGUUAUCCUUUGACCAGCUCCGGGUGGCAGCUGAAGCCCAUGAGGUCGGCUUCGAAACGUCAGCCCAAGUCCCAGCAUAUUUCUGGGGCUACACUUGCCGACGUCGGUCUCCUGCAGAAAGUCCUGUCUCCGGCGCUCCUGGGCGGCAAAGUCGUUGCGCAGCAACUGCCGCGCCGCAGCCUGACUGUACAUGGCCGCCCUGUGACCCUGAGGGUCUGGGUAUUGGUCACGUCCCUGGCACCCCUGCGCGCCCACGUGCAUAAACACAG